GCGAUUAUCGCGUAGCACUAUAUUAAACAGAAUUCACACAGAUUGUUUGUUAAAAGGCACGAUUCCGCGAGAUUCAUUCCGUCGAAAUUCAUCGCGCGGGCAACAGACGAUUAAUCUUCGAAAAUGCCUUUCCCGGGUAUCUCUCGUCCUAAUUACAUUUGCGUUACAAUGCGGACAAGUAAUCGCAAUGAAACGCGAGAAUUCGAAGUGCGGUAAGUAUGCAACACGCAGCUAGGAACAUUCAGGUUACAACAACGCCGCGCCGUGUUGCUCGUGGAGCGCGUGAAGUUUGCCGCGGAACCUUGGAAUUCUCUUCACCACGGCGGUGCGACGUUCGUUCGCUCCUUCCGAAUUCGCGAAUGUCGAGUGAAUUCGUUCUGAUGAAAUCGCGUAUCGCGUAAUCUUUCACGUUGAUCAUUCUGCUCGAUGUAGUAAAGUGCGCGUCGCGUUUGAUUAACGUCGUAAGUGCCAUACGAAAUGCUAGAGCAUCGUAUUUUGGGGAUGCGCGGUCGGUUAAGGUUAACCGUGUUUUCGCGAGUGUACUAUACAUACAUACACGAGUGCCAUGGAGGGGCAAGAGAGGAGGAGGAAGGCUCGGAGAAGCAUCGAGCGACAGUGGAGAGCAGCCACGAUUCAAUGCAAAACCAUCGGUGUGCAUCGUACUGAAUUUGGAAGGAGAAUAUCAACAGUAGCAGCAGCAGCAGC
rnacentral:lncRNA from 13 species